rnacentral:rRNA from 1 species
UACGGCGGGGGCUAGCGUUGUUCGGAAUUACUGGGCGUAAAGCGCACGUAGGCGGCUUUGUAAGUUAGAGGUGAAAGCCCGGAGCUCAAUUCCGGAAUUGCCUUUAAGACUGCAUCGCUUGAAUCCAGGAGAGGUGAGUGGAAUUCCGAGUGUAGAGGUGAAAUUCGUAGAUAUUCGGAAGAACACCAGUGGCGAAGGCGGCUCACUGGACUGGUAUUGACGCUGAGGUGCGAAAGCGUGGGGAGCAAACAGG